rnacentral:rRNA from 1 species
GACGAACGCUGGCGGCGUGCCUAAUACAUGCAAGUAGAACGCUGAAGGAGGAGCUUGCUUCUCUGGAUGAGUUGCGAACGGGUGAGUAACGCGUAGGUAACCUGCCUGGUAGCGGGGGAUAACUAUUGGAAACGAUAGCUAAUACCGCAUAAUAGCAGUUAUUGCAUGAUAACUGUUUGAAAGGUGCAAUUGCACCACUACCAGAUGGACCUGCGUUGUAUUAGCUAGUUGGUGGGGUAACGGCUCACCAAGGCGACGAUACAUAGCCGACCUGAGAGGGUGAUCGGCCACACUGGGACGGAGACACGGCCCAGACUCCUACGGGAGGCAGCAGUAGGGAAUCUUCGGCAAUGGACGGAAGUCUGACCGAGCAACGCCGCGUGAGUGAAGAAGGUUGUCGGAUCGUAAAGCUCUGUUGUAAGAGAAGAACGAGUGUGAGAGUGGAAAGUUCACACUGUGACGGUAUCUUACCAGAAAGGGACGGCUAACUACGUG